rnacentral:lncRNA from 1 species
GGAAUGAUCCUCACAUUCGCCUUGUUCUACUGGAAAUGCAGCCGACGAAAAUCUUCUUUGCACAUCCAAGCUGUGUGUUACCCAGAGGAGGACCCUGGCAGAGGCACCGUUAGUGCUAAAGAUAGAAGGAGAAAAUGUCUGCCCUCAGCUCUCCCCUCCCUACCCAGAAAACCCUGGGUGCCAUCUGAGAGGAGAGAAGCCAUGCCACUGCCAACGGCGAAAGAUAGAGCCUGUUGGGUUGCGGGCAUGUGGGUGCGGGCAAGGAGGCCAUCUUAUCCGGGAAUGUCUCUGCAGCAUCUAAGAUGGCUGAGCUGGCAUCCGAGAUGCGUUCCAUGGGGUGGAAUAUGACAUUUGAAGAGAGACUGGAAAUGCUGGCCGUGUGGUAUGGUGCACGCAAACAGGCAAGAAGAGACAACGUGUGUCUUCACCUGCAUCCUCAGCCACUGCGAUUACAGGACUAAGAACAGAGCUGGGAACUGUAGUUCUUUGUCCUUUGCUGUCAUAGCCUUUAAAUAACUUUCAGUUGUUUGUCUUGAAUUUAUGAUGUGUUGAUGCAUAAUUUUAGCAUGUUUCAUGAAAAUAAAAAAUAAAAUGAAAUGAAAUUUGAGACUUUG